UGAGGAAUAUUGCUCAAUGGGCGAAAGCCUGAAGCAGCGACGCCGCGUGAGGGAUGAAAUCCGUUAGGAUGUAAACCUCUUUUGCAGGGGAAGAACUUUCCGCCUUGAGCGGAAUUGACUGUACCCUGCGAAUAAGCACCGGCCAACUACGUGCCAGCAGCCGCGGUAAUACGUAGGGUGCAAGCGUUGUCCGGAAUUACUGGGUGUAAAGGGUCCGCAGGCGGGUGGACAAGUCGGUGGUGAAAUUCUAUAGCUCAACUGUAGAACUGCCUCCGAUACUGUUCAUCUUGAGUUCGAGAGAGGAUGAUGGAAUUCAUGGUGUAGCGGUGAAAUGCGUAGAGAUCAUGAAGAACACCGGUAGCGAAGGCGGUCAUCUGGCUCGAUACUGACGCUCAGGGACGAAAGCGUGGGGAGCAAACAGGAUUAGAUACCCCUGUAGUCC
rnacentral:rRNA from 1 species